UACGUAGGUGGCAAGCGUUGUCCGGAUUUACUGGGCGUAAAGAGCGCGCAGGCGGUCGUUCAAGUCGCGUGUGAAAGCCCCCGGCUCAACUGGGGAGGGUCACGCGAUACUGAUCGACUCGAAGGCAGGAGAGGGAAGUGGAAUUCCCGGUGUAGCGGUGAAAUGCGCAGAUAUCAGGAGGAACACCGGUGGCGAAGGCGGUUCUCUGGGCAUGUCCUGACGCUGAGGAGCGAAAGUGUGGGGAGCGAACAGG
rnacentral:rRNA from 1 species